rnacentral:rRNA from 1 species
AGUGAACGCUGGCGGUAUGCCUAACACAUGCAAGUCGAACGGCAGCACAGUAAGAGCUUGCUCUUACGGGUGGCGAGUGGCGGACGGGUGAGGAAUACAUCGGAAUCUACUUUUUCGUGGAGGAUAACGUAGGGAAACUUACGCUAAUACCGCAUACGACCUACGGGUGAAAGCAGUGGAUCUUCGGACCUUUCGCGAUUGAAUGAGCCGAUGUCGGAUUAGCUAGUUGGCGGGGUAAAGGCCCACCAAGGCGACGAUCCGUAGCUGGUCUGAGAGGAUGAUCAGCCACACUGGAACUGAGACACGGUCCAGACUCCUACGGGAGGCAGCAGUGGGGAAUAUUGGACAAUGGGCGCAAGCCUGAUCCAGCCAUACCGCGUGGGUGAUGAAGGCCUUCGGGUUGUAAAGCCCUUUUGUUGGGAAAGAAAAGCAGCGGAUUAAUACCCCGCUGUUUUGACGGUACCCAAAGAAUAAGCACCGGCUAACUACGUG